rnacentral:rRNA from 1 species
GGAUGCGAUCAAACCAGGCACUAAAGCACCGGAUCCCAUCGGAACUCCGAAGUUAAGCGUGCUUGGGCGAGAGUAGUACUAGGAUGGGUGACCUCCUGGGAAGUCCUCGUGUUGCAUCCC